rnacentral:lncRNA from 1 species
CAGAAUUAGUGAACCCACCACACAGCAAGCAAACAACCCGCGACUGUUUGAGUUUCGCUUUCUUUUCUCCUCUCUUGUCUAGUUUCUUCCACAUGGCUCCCGCCUUCUCCUUCCUUCACUUCAUCUUCUUCCUCAACAAAGCAGCCACAUAGAACAACACGCAUUAUGACGGCUUUAUCAUCAUUACACUCGCUAUUCUUUAGCCCACUUCUCAAAAUCCCUUCACCAAAACUUAAACCGUAACCAUUUUUUACACCACCAACAGCAGGAAACCUUGCUGCAGGAGAACCAACAGGUGCAGCUGAGUGUUGGUCGGUGACGACGAACAGUGGCGGCUGACCGGCUGUUAGUGACGACGGCAGCUCACGAACUGUUAGGGUUUCUUUUGGGGGAAAAAAAUUGAUUCGAUGGCAUUACAAUUU